UUGAUCCUGCCAGAGGUUACUGCUAUCGAGUUCGACUAAGCCAUGCGAGUCGAAUGUAGCAAUACAUGGCGUACUGCUCAGUAACACGUGGACAACCUGCCCUUAGGACGGGGAUAAACCCGGGAAACUGGGUAUAAUACCCGAUAGGUUUCGAGUGCUGGAAUGCACCGAAUCCUAAAGCUCCGGCGCCUAAGGAUGGGUCUGCGGCCUAUCAGGUAGUAGUGGGUGUAGCGUACCUACUAGCCUACGACGGGUACGGGUUGUGAGAGCAAGAGCCCGGAGAUGGAUUCUGAGACACGAAUCCAGGCCCUACGGGGUGCAGCAGGCGCGAAAACUUUACAAUGCUGGCAACAGCGAUAAGGGAACCUCGAGUGCCAGGUUACAAAUCUGGCUGUCGUGAUGCCUAAAAAGCAUUGCAUAGCAAGGGCCGGGCAAGACCGGUGCCAGCAGCCGCGGUAAUA
rnacentral:rRNA from 1 species